ensembl:misc_RNA Metazoa_SRP Metazoan signal recognition particle RNA
GCUAGGCGCAAUGGUGCAUGCCUGUGGUCUCAGCUACUCGGGAGGCUGAGGCUGGAGGAUUGCUUAAGCCCAGGAGUAAGCUAUGCCGAUUGGGUGUCCACACUAAGUUCAGCAUCAAUAUAGUGACCUCCUGGGAGUGGGGGACCACCAGGUUGCCUAAGGAGGGGUGAACCGGCCCACGUCGGAAAUGGAGCAGGUCAAAACUCCCGUGCUGAUCAGUAGUGGGAUCGAGCCUGUGAAUAGCCACUGCACUCCAGCCUGGGCAACAUAGCAAGGCCCCGUCUCUU